rnacentral:rRNA from 1 species
CGCAGGGAAACCGAGUCUUAACCGGGCGUUAAGUUGCAGGGUAUAGACCCGAAACCCGGUGAUCUAGCCAUGGGCAGGUUGAAGGUUGGGUAACACUAACUGGAGGACCGAACCGACUAAUGUUGAAAAAUUAGCGGAUGACCUGUGGCUGGGGGUGAAAGGCCAAUCAAACCGGGAGAUAGCUGGUUCUCCCCGAAAGCUAUUUAGGUAGCGCCUCGUGAACUCAUCUUCGGGGGUAGAGCACUGUUUCGGCUAGGGGGUCAUCCCGACUUACCAACCCGAUGCAAACUGCGAAUACCGGAGAAUGUUAUCACGGGAGACACACGGCGGGUGCUAACGUCCGUCGUGAAGAGGGAAACAACCCAGACCGCCAGCUAAGGUCCCAAAGUCAUGGUUAAGUGGGAAACGAUGUGGGAAGGCCCAGACAGCCAGGAUGUUGGCUUAGAAGCAGCCAUCAUUUAAAGAAAGCGUAAUAGCUCACUGGUCGAGUCGGCCUGCGCGGAAGAUGUAACGGGGCUAAACCAUGCACCGAAGCUGCGGCAGCGACGCUUAUGCGUUGUUGGGUAGGGGAGCGUUCUGUAAGCCGUUGAAGGUGGCCUGUGAGGGUUGCUGGAGGUAUCAGAAGUGCGAAUGCUGACAUAAGUAACGAUAAAGCGGGUGAAAAGCCCGCUCGCCGGAAGACCAAGGGUUCCUGUCCAACGUUAAUCGGGGCAGGGUGAGUCGACCCCUAAGGCGAGGCCGAAAGGCGUAGUCGAUGGGAAACAGGUUAAUAUUCCUGUACUCGGUGUUACUGCGAAGGGGGGACGGAGAAGGCUAUGUUGGCCGGGCGACGGUUGUCCCGGUUUAAGCAUGUAGGCGGGUGUUCCAGGUAAAUCCGGAACGCUGUUAACGCUGAGGUGUGAUGACGAGGCACUACGGUGCUGAAGCAACAAAUGCCCUGCUUCCAGGAAAAGCCUCUAAGCAUCAGGUAACAUCAAAUCGUACCCCAAACCGACACAGGUGGUCAGGUAGAGAAUACCAAGGCGCUUGAGAGAACUCGGGUGAAGGAACUAGGCAAAAUGGUGCCGUAACUUCGGGAGAAGGCACGCUGAUGGUAGGUGAAGUGAUUUACUCAUGGAGCUGAAAUCAGUCGAAGAUACCAGCUGGCUGCAACUGUUUAUUAAAAACACAGCACUGUGCAAACACGAAAGUGGACGUAUACGGUGUGACGCCUGCCCGGUGCCGGAAGGUUAAUUGAUGGGGUUAUCCUCGCGGAGAAGCUC